CAAAGUGCCAGGAUUAUAGGUGUGAGCCACAGCACCUGGUCCCUUUUUCUUUUUUAUGUCUAUUUGGGUCCCAUACACUCAACAGCUCAACAGAAGAAAGGGCUGUGGCUGGACAGAGUGGGCCAUGCCGCUUGCCUCUUACAGGAACUAUCGCCUUAAUCACUUUCUUCUUGCUUUUAAUUUAUUUUUUGAGUAACAUUAAACAUUCACACACAUACUCACAUACUUAGAAAAUUUCUUCAACAGCAGAAAAGGAUAUACGGGGAAAGGUGAGUUUCCCUCCCGCGCCAACGCCCAGAGCCCCUUCCCAGAGACAGCCGCGGAGAAUAGGUUCAUGGGUGACCCUUCCCCAAGUCUUUUCCUCACUCAGCAUCCAGAUGGGUCCUUCGGAAAUGUGACACAGAUUACGGCACAACCUCUGCCCUCCAGGGGCUUCCCAUCAUUCUCCGGAUAUCAUUCUACAUCCUACUGUGGCGACAAAGCCCUACGUGAGCUGGACCCAGUCGCCUGCCCCUGCCUCAUUCCCACGGCUCUCCCCCACCCUGUCCCCUUGCAGCCUCUCUGGCCUCCCCGGCCUCCUCUGACACCCCAUGGCUCAUCUCAUGACUUGCUGUACCUCUGCCUAGAAUGUCCCUAGAGCCUCCGACUCUCCUGCUGGAGUUCUCUCCUUAAAUACCACCUCCUCCGAGGGCCUUCCUGGGCUGCCUGCGCCGCCUUCCUUCCUCUGUUCUCCCAAUCUGAGGCUUCCUACCCGACUCCAGCCCACAGCCCCAGGCUUUGUGGUAAUGUAACUGUUGUAAACUUAAAAUUCUGGCCGGGCGUGGUGGCUCAUGCCUGUAAUCCCAGCACUUUGGGAGUUCGAGGCGGGCAGAUCACUUGAGGCCAGGAGUUCAAGACCAGCCUGGCCAACAUGGCCAAACCCCGUCUCUACUAAAAAUACAAAAAUUAGCUGGGCGUGGUGGAGUGCGCCUGUAGUCCCAGUUACUCUGGAGGCUGACGUGGGAGGAUGGCUUGAACUCGGGAGGCAGAGGGUGCAGUGAGCUGAGAUCACACCACUGCACUCCAGCCUGGGUGACAUAGCAAGACUCUGUCUCCCAAAAAAAAAAAAAAAAUCCUAAGCCCCCCCAGUGACUGAACAGACUCCCUCUUGGCCAAGGGGACCCCAGAAAAACCUUAAAACUUGAGUUCCUGGCCAUGAUAGGAUGGGAGGUCAGACAUGCCUCAUUAUACGUCUUUACCUUUUACAGUUCAGACACUGACCAGCAUUCAUGUUAAAAUAGAGAUCAUAAGACUGACAGAACGGACCCUUUAUGGAAGUAAGAUACCAAAUUAUAAAUAGAACUAAGGUCAUGCCAGGCAAGUGGUAAGUCACGCACCUCUACACUUAAAGAAUAACUUAUGCUCUAACUGCCACGAGGCUUUUCUUUUUCUCUAGCAGAUAAACAAGCACUGGCCUCAGGAUAAGCAGUGUUGAAACAUUUGGAAGCUCCUGCAGAUGCUGAAUAACUGACCUCCAGCCUCUGUUCCACCAGCCACAACUACAGCUUUGAUUGGAGAAGAGACUGAUUUCAGCCACUUUCUCCUGGUAUAAAAGCCUGCCGUUGGUGGAAAAGGAAAAGGUGGUCCAGUUAGACAAGAUGCCACCGGCUUCUGAAACCAGACAUCUUUGAAAACCCACCCAUCUACCUGCAGGAAAAGAGACAGGGUUUCACUAUGUUGGCCAGGAUGUUCAACAACUUCUGCCUUCAAGCGAUCUUCCCUCCUGGGCCUCCCCAAGUGCUGAGUUUACAAGCAUCAGCCACCACACCCAGCCUAUGACAUUUUCUUCAUUAUGGCUGGUACUGCCUCAUGAAAAGGGGGUUCCUCAUGCUGGAUCUGAACAACCCAGCACAGGCAAGUCUGGGGAGCAAGGCAGGAGCCUGCAUGUGGACUCAAAGGACCGGCACCCGAAACAAAGCAGUGGCUGGCACAGGUGGACAAACCAGGCAAGAAAAGCAACUGUCCUUCGGAGCAGAGUCCACGUGAUGGGAAGAAACAGACACAGUCUCACUCUGUUGCCCAGGCUGAAGUCAACGGCAUGAUCUCAGCUCACUGCAACCUCCACCUCCUGGGUUCAAGCAAUUCUCGUGCCUCAGCCUCCCAAGUAGCUUGGAUUACAGUAAAAGCUGCCAAGGUCCUCUUCAACGUGAUGGCGUAAAUCCAGCUCUUUCUGCAAGAAGGCUCACCAGCCUUCCCACCAGCUCUUCUCCCCACCCCAGCCCUGCAGCCCUGCAGCCUGACCCUAGGUAAUGAGUGGUGGGGAGUGACCCAGGCAUGCACGACCUGCCCAGAGGAAAGGGAGUUCAAAGAAGGACCCGAGACCCUCACAGGAACCUAGCAGAUUGGCACAAGUGCCAGAUGUAUCCAGGACAGACACUUUCCCCAGGACUCCAGGGGUAAAGGAGUGCCCCACCUCUCCACUCCUUGCCUUUCUUAACUGAAUUCAGAUUGUCGUGAACAUUCAAGAAAAGCAUUGUGGCUGACUUCCAAGGUUACUACUUGAGUCCAUCACUACAGCAGUUACUACUCUUACUGCUCCAGACCGUCAUUACAGCAGUUACUACUGUUACCACUUGAGACCAUCCUUACAAGACUGAAGGAAGGGAGGAACGUAGAAAUGAAAACCAAGGAAAAAAAGAAACUGCUUUAAGUAAAGGCUAGCAUGGGGAAGAAGAGAGCUCCCCGCUUCUAGUGAGCAAAGGCAGCCCCCUUAUUUAUUGGGUAACAAGAGCACGAGGAGGUGGCAACAAUUGGUCAGCUGCUUAAUUGAUCAGAGGUUCAUGUUGUUACUGACAGGCUUCUAUUAUGCCUAAUCAUAAGAAACAUUUGUUCAGCUUCCAACAAAGCUGAAGUUUAAAUGAUGCAAUUACAUUCAGCACAGAGGAGUAUCUCCCCCAAUCCCACCAUAUAAAGAGAAAGCACAUGCAUGCAGGAGAGAAACAGUGAAUGGAAGGCUAGGAAAUCUUGGUCUUGGAGGAGAGUGCAGAUUGGAGAUAGAGGGAAGGGGAAAAUAAGAUGCUGGGAUCUUGAGGGAGGAUGUGGGGUGGUGGCCAAGCUCCCUGGUUCAUGGGGAUGAGAAUGAAGCCUCUGUUGGCUCUGGGUCAUGUGACAUGGGCCAAGAUAAGACAUGGUUCCUGCAGAGAGAUGGAGCGUGGUCUGUCUGUCUUGUGCUCAUGUGUCUGUGUCAAAUGGCUUCCGAGGGAACUAGAGCCACUUAGGUCUAUGUGGUUUAAGGAAAGCACAAGUGAAAAGAAGCCAGGAAUAGUGCAGAGGUAGGGGAUGGGACACCAAGACAUGAGGCCAGAGUGUGAGACAGAAUCAGAGCUCCUGCCUGCAGAGAAUGAUGGGCUGUGUGAGGAGCCCUGGCCCUCUGCGGACAUUUUAAUAAGUGGCCCCACUUUCUUAGGUGCUCAUGUGUCCGGGGAUUCUAGGGAGGUUUUGUGAGGCUGAGCUAAAAAAAAUAACCAAUUCCAGCUAGGCACAGGGGCUCACGCCUGUAAUCCCAGCCCUUUGGGAGGCUGGGGUGUGAGGAUUGCUUAAGGCCAGGAGGUCAAGGCUACAGUGAGCCAUGAUUGUGCCGCUGCACUCCAGCCUGAGCAAGAGGGUGAGACCCUGUCUCAAGAAACAAGCAAACAAAAAUAACCUAUUCCACUUUGACCCUGAAUAGGGAAAACUGACCAAACAAGGAGAGUAGCCAGAGGCAGGGAUGGAAGCAUAGGAGAAACUGGCAGUGGACAAGCUCCUUUGGAAUAAUCCACCAAGAGAGGAAAUGAAACAGAAUGCCUGAAUGAAUUAUGAAAGCAGAACAAAGUCUGAAAGAAUAAUCAGGGCUUGAGAUCUAGAAAGGAUCAAUGAGAUUUGUGGGAACAGACUUUCAGGGGAAACACAGAGGGCUAAGCGGCCUGAGAAACAGCUCAACUCUUGACCUUCCUCUUCCUGACACAUAGCAAGCUCAAGUGUAAAAGUUCUUGGUUCCUGGGGGAUCCCGAAAUGGCAGAGGUGGCUGUAUCUAUGCACCUUAUUCAACAAGUUGGUAAAAGUCCACUUAAGGCUGAUCACCAAGAGCUGCCUGCUUAGAAACAGGAGGAAGCUAGAUACCUAAAAUACUCCCAGCACGUCCUGGGAGAUGACACCCUAAGCUCUCACCUGGGAAAGGAAAAGGAUGAGAGACCCAGGUGACUGCAGGUUCACCUUGCUGGGGAACAAGGUUUUCUCACCUUCAUUUCCAGUGCGGGAGGGAAACCAGAAUAGCAAAAGAUCAAGAAAACUGAACAAAAACUAGAAGAGAAAUUGGUGGAGGGAUGACAGAGGUUGAAAUGGGAAGGCACCAAGCAGAAUCAGGUAUCCUCUACAGAGCAGAGAAUUGCCCUGAGCACAGAAUGCUAUAUCAUUUUCUCAAAGUCACAGAGCUGGGAAUUGCCAACAGUGGGACUGGGAUCCAGAUCUGCUCCCCUCAUUACUUAUUCUCCCUGGAUUUCUCUUCAGAGUGGAGCAAUGCCCUGGCAUUCAACUCGUCUGUGAUAUGACAGUCCUCACACUCUGUGUAGUGACCUACUAUGAGUGGUACCUGGGCGCUGCCUGCCUAGAAUUCAUCCCUCCUUCUUCUGGUAGCAGCAUCCCAAUUUUCCUCUAGUUAACCACUCCCCCUCUACUCUUGGUCUGUGGGAUGUGGGGAGGGGGACAGGGGGAGAAGGGGAGGUUGGCCCCAUUAUCACUGCAGGGCAUGCAACCCAGACUUGGCAAUCUCAGUCCAUCUAGAGUCAAUCUUUUCUAGACUCUUCUAGACUAAUUCAGAAAGCAGCUUUCUCUUUCCACAGGGUGGUUAGGAAGGUAGAAGGUAAUCCUGGAGCUUCCCGCCACCACGCAGGAGGAAUUUGCCUGAGAGCAAAGCCAGCAUAGAGAAGCAGAGCUGAGUCAUGGAGACAGGUGGCUGAAAGUUUCAUUUCGGCAUAUGGAUCUCACCAUUCCUGAAGCCACUUUCAACUCUUCAAUUUCAUAGCUAAUAAAUUCUCAUUUUUGCACAAUUAGCUGAAGCAAGGUUUUUUGUUACCUGGAAGCAAUGAAUGCAAAUGUUUUUUAGGUAAUUUGUUAAUAGUAAUAAAAGAUAAAGAAUAUAAUAAUAAAGAAUAGGGGCAUUUCCAGGGCCGGGCACAGUGGCUCACACCUGUAAUCCCAGUACUUUGGGAGGCCGAGGCGGGCAGAUCACUUGAGGUCAGGAGUUGGAGAACAGCCUGGCAAAACCCCGUCUCUCCUAAAAAUACAAGAAUUAGCCAGGCGCAGUGGCACACACCUGUAAUCCCAGCUACUUGGGAGGCUGAGGCAGGAGAAUCGCUUGAACCCGGGAGGCAGAGGUUGCAGUGAGUCAAGAUCACACCACUGCACUCUAGCCUGGGAGAUGGAGCAAGACUACAUCUCAAAAAAGAAAAAGAAUAAAGUCAUUUCUGAAUUGUAUCUUUUAUGAUUUUAAAAAAUGAAUCAGAGAAGAUUCAAGGCACAUUCUGACAUGCAAGGGUUACAGUCACAGCCCAUGGGCCAGGCAUGGCACUUCACCCCAGUAUGCUGGCGACGGCCCUCUCUGCACCAAUAAAUCAGAUGCCUGCUUAACAACUAUUUCAAUCAGAAGUGCAUUCUGCAGUUUUGAAAGUUUCCACACGUAUUAUCACUCCUCAGUCAUAAAACAAUCUGAUGAAGUUAGUUUCUAAUGCCUUUUUUUUUUUUUUUUUUGAGACAAAGUCUCGGUCUGUCACCCAGGCCAGAGUGCAAUGGCAUGAUCUUGGCUCACUGCAGCCUCCGCAGUUCAAACAAUUCUCCUGCCUGAGCCUCCUGAGUAGCUGGGAUUACAGGUGUGCACCACCAUGCCCAGCUAAUAUUUGUAUUUUUAGUAGAGACGGGGUUUCACCAUGUUGGCCAGGCUGGUCUCGAAUUCCUGACCUCAAAUGAUCUGCCAACCUCGGCCUCCCAAAGUGCUGGUAUGACAGGCCUGAGCCACUGCACCUGGCUCUGACCACACGUCUUCCAUCAAGGACUUACAUCAUUCUUUUUGGCCACCCAGAACCUCUGAACUCCCUGCCUGUGAAUCUACGCCUGCCCAAGGGAGAAGCAGAAACUUGCUUUCUCAGAGUCGGCUCCCAUGUAGGGCACAGGCAUGUGACCAAAGUCCAGCCAGUUACCAAGCCCAGGUGGGGGCAGUGCAGCAUAGCUGUGACGUUAGGCCCGGAGGCCACUCUAGGGAGCUGGCAGCACACAGCCAGCUGCCAGGGCGGCAGAGAGAGGUGCCGAGGGUGUGGCAGCAGUGCCCAGCGUGUGAACCGCAGAGUGUGCGCCAGUGGUGGAGGUGGUGGUGUCUGCAAGGGUAUCAUCCAGGCAUACCCUCCAAGCCUGGUGUUCUGGCUGGCCUGGAGAUUCCACAAGCUACCUAAUACCCUUUAAAAACAAAAUUCCUAGGCUGGGUGGGAUGGCUCACGCCUGUAAUCACAGUGUCUGGGGAGGCCGAGAUGGGAGGAUGGCUCCAAGUGAGAGGAUCUCUGGAGGCCAGGAGUUUGAGAUCAGCCUGGGCAACAUAGUGAGAUCCCAUCUCUAUAAAAAUAAUUUUAAAAUAAAAUAAAUAGGCCGGGCAUGGUAAGCUCACACCUGUGAUCCCAGCACUUUGGGAGGCCAAGGCAGGCAGAUCACCUGAGGUCAGGAGUUCGAGACCAGCCUGGCCAACAUGAUGAAACCCUGUCUCUACUAAAAAUACAAAAAUUAGCCGGGUGUGAUGGUGGGCGCCUAUAAUCCCAGCUACUUGAGAGGCUGAGGUGGGAGAAUGCUUGAACCUGGAAGGCAGAGAUUGCAGUGAGCCAAGUUCGCACCACUGCUCUCCAGCCUGGGCGAUAGAGCAAGACUCCAUCUCAAAAAAAGUAAAAAAUAAAUAAAAUAAAUAAGAACAAAAUUCCUUUUCCGCUUAACCUGACAAGAGGAGAGUCUGCUGUCUGUAGUGGGAAACCUGACAGAUACAAUCAGGAGAGCAUCCAAGGUCUCCAGGCGGACAGUCCUCUGCAGCUGCAUCCUGUCUGUGCCAUUGGUCCCUCUGCCAGCCUCUUGGCCAUGUGUGUAGCCUGGGAAGAAUGCUGCCCUGCUCCACCUGCUGUGGCAACUGCCACUAUGCGAGAUGGCCAGGCUGCUCCAGCUCCCACAGUGGCUCGUGGUCUGUGCCUCCGUCAGUCUGGCUUCUCCUGGGGCAGCGGCUACCGGCUGGACUCUGGCCCAGGAACAGGGCUUUCCCUGUGCUCGCCUGCACCUCGCACCAUGGUCCUGGCCCCACGACGACUGAAUCUGCCAGUCUCCACUCCCCUGUGCACUUUCUGCACUACAGCAGUGGGAUGUGGUGACAGGAACACUAAAGGAUUGAAUGCCGGGAUCCUGGAGGGAAAUUGAAGCUGCUGGUGCUUCUGCCUGGGUCCUAGGGGAGCAGGAAACACUGUGGAGUACUUACUGUGGGCUCAGCACAGUUCCAUUUUAAUUGACAAAUAAUAAUUGUAUCUAUGUAUGGGAUACAAUAUGAUGUUUUGAUCCAUGUUUACAACGUGGAAUGAUUAAAUCAGGCCAAUUAAACACAUCCAUCACCUCACAUACUCAUCCUUUUCUUGCAGUGUAAACAUUUAAAAUCUCUUUUCACGGCUUUGAAAUAUACAUUACAUUAUUAUUUAUUAUAAACACCAUUAUGUGCAAUUGAUCACUAAAGCUGACUCCUCCUAACUGAAACUUUGAAGUCUUCAGUCAGCGUCUUCCCUUUCCCCAUCCAGCCCCUUCCCCCAGCCUCUGGUAACCAGCAUACUUCUCGCCAUGAGAUCUGCUUCUAGAUCGGCUUUUUAAGAUUCUCCAUGUAAGUGAGAUCAUGCAGCACUUGCCUUUCUGUGCCUGGCUUAUGUCGCUGAGCAGAAGGCCCUCCAGGCUCAUCUAUGCUGCCACAAAUGACAGGGUUUCUUUCUUUUUCAAGGCUGACUAGUAUUCCACUGUGUAUCUACACCACAUUUUCUUUUCUUUUCUCUUUUGAGAUGGAGUUUUUGCUCUGUUGCCCAAGCUGGAGUGCAGUGGCACGAUCUUGGC
rnacentral:lncRNA from 10 species